ACCCUGCGUUCGCACCAAAAGAUGCAUUUGCUGCCCGAACGCGUUGCCGCCGAAGUUUUGCAGCGCGUCAAAGGUUUUGCGGCGCGUCAAAAGUUGAAAUAUUUCAACUCGAGCAGCAUUUGACGCGCCGCAAAAUACGUGAACGCGCCCUCCGCCCGUGCCCGGCAGCGGGCACGGGCAUGCCGCGCCGCAAAUCAGAUUUUGACGCGCCGCAAAUCAAGUUUUGCUGCCCGUUUUCUCGGCAGCAAAUGCUGCGGCAGCAAAGCAGCAACGCGUCUCUACAUUCACUUUGAAUGGGAUCACGACGUGCGUCAACUUUUUGCAUCUUUUGGUGUGAACGCAGGGUAAUAGUUGUUUUUGCCAGGAAGGAUAGGAAUUCUGAGGGAAAUGACCCGGAAGUACCGGGUCAUGCAUGGAAAGGAAGGUGCUUGAGUACGAUAAUUAGUAUUGAUAAUGACAACAAUUUUGGUUAACGUUUUCGAAUAGCUCACAUUUUGUGACUGGUAGCAAAUAAUGGUUAACAAAUCCAUGGUUAUUAUUGCAUUGUGUGGGUAUCAAAUCAAUUAUUAAACAGAUUUUACUGCACGUGACGGGAUUUGAUGGUACAAACUCCGAUAAAUGAGCCAUUUAUCGGACAACCCAUUUUAUACCGGGUUGUCCGCAUUUAUUUGGCCUGCAUGAUACAGCCCAGUAAUAAGGCACAGGGCAAAAUAUCUCUGAUGCGCUUUUAGUAGUACAUCUAGUAGACGGACCCACACCAAUAACAUCGGAUGUUGCAUAAUUACGUAGCUUAGUGCAAGUGAAGUAGAUUCUCUUAGCCCCUUGGUUGUCUUUGCCCAAACUUACCUUGACCUCGACUUUUUUUUUUUUUCCAUCAAGGCCUAGGAAAAGACAUGGGCAGAUGUUUUUUGGGACUAUACCCUGGACUUACACUGCUACGCUGACGACACUCAGAUAUACAUCACAACCAAACCCACCCAAAAUCCUCGCCUCAACGAACUCGAAACCUGCAUCUCUACAAUAAAAACACGGCUGACCCACAACUCAAUAGUGACAUAACAGAGCUCCUCCUCAUAGGCACCAAAUCCCUUCAAAAAAAACUGAACCUAUCCCACUCACCAUCGACACCUCGACCAUCACUCCCUCCCCCCUGGUCCUCAAUCUUGGAGUUAUCCUGGAACCAACCCUCUCCUUUGGUCCCCAUGUCAGCUCCAUUGUAAAUACCUCCUACUUCCACCUUCGCCGCAUCACCAAAUCAGACACUGCCUGUCCCCCCCUGCUGCUGAAUCCCUUAUCCACGCCUUCAUCUCGUCCCAUCUAGACUAUUCCAACUCCCUCCUCACCGGCAUCACCUCUCAUUCCCUCCAUAGACCCCAAAUGGUCCAAAACUGCUGCUGCGCGCCUUCUCACUCAGGCCCGGUCUCGUGAACACAUCACUCCUGUUCUCUUCACUCUCCUCUGGCUCCCCAUCAAACAA